GGUGGCCUAGUGGUUAGAGCGUCCGCCUCAGAUGCGGGAGGAUGCGGGUUCGAACCCCGGCUCCG